AUUUGCUAUGGUGGCUCCACUUGAGGGACCAAUUUUGUACUUUUACCAAAUGAUGGCACAGUGCCACAGCUGCUAGUUCAUGGUCACCCCUGCCUGCGCACCAAUUUUCCUCUCCGGUGGCCGGCGCAGGCUAGGGUUUGCAUGAACUAGGAGUCGUAGGUUACCUCUUCAUUUUUUUUGUUUUGGUUUGAAGGGAGCUCCUUUUUGCUCUUUC
rnacentral:pre_miRNA from 1 species